rnacentral:lncRNA from 1 species
GCCCAAACUAUUUGAAAGAUGACAAGGAUCCAUGUGAAAUACUUUGAAAUAGAAGCCUGGUUGAGUCACAAAUGCAAGAAAUAGUUUUGCAUGGUGAGAGAGAAAAAACAAGGCCUUUAACUAAGACUUUAUCUCUGUAAACCUGAGCUGCAGUUAAUCACACAAUAUAUCAGAGGAAGUGUAAACAGGAAAUCAAAGGAUGUUACAACACUGAAAGCUUUUAGAUUAUGUGUUACAGAAGUUAAGGGAUGUGUCCUGUCAAGAAUGAAGCAAAUGCAUCCGUUAACACAAGACACUUAAAAAAAUAAAAAAAUGUCCUUCAAUUAAGGUCAAAACCUAGGAAGCUGCUACUCAAAAACAAGAGCUGAGUGAGAUGUGCAAAUAGGAAAUGACAAAGGAAUCCCAUAUCCUGGGAGAAAGACGGGUCCCAACCCAGAUGGCUUGCAGGCAAGAGACAUUUAAACACAUGAUGGAAUAAUGUCCAGAUGUUAUGCAGACAGACUACCACAAAUGGAGAAUGAAGACAGAUGAAUGCGUUUUUGUGUUUGGCUAAGCUACUUUGGGGCAUUUUGUAUCUUGGUUCUUGGAAGCAGUAUUAUCACUUCCAGAGUAAAGAAAGACAACAGCAUUACUGCUGACAGUGCUGGAUUUCCAAGCCAUUUAAUACUUCAGACAGAUACCUUGAGCAAAGUGAAGGAACUGCAUUAUAUUGACAUAAUGAGUAAAGACUGAAGGUGUUGGAGUUGGGGAUGGUCCACCCCUCAUUUCUAAAGUGUCAGCACCCUCACUAUUACAAGAACUCAACUAAAUAAAGCAAGAUUAUUGUGUUGGAACUUCCUAAAU